GGGGUCUAUGGACAGAGUUCUGAGCUAAGCACUAGAAAACUUACUCUAGAAGACAUUGAUUAGCUAAUAAAAAUUUGUUUUGAUUAUUCAAUCAGUUCCUAAUAAGACAUCAUUUAGAUUCCAUUCCAUAUAAUUCUUUACCUCUUCUAUAGGGUGGUCAAAAGAGGUGGUCUUGCAUAUCUCCAGUUACUCCAUGGCCCCCCAAAUGCUUCUGCCUGACCAGUUGUCAACAAAGGAUGCAUUAGGCAUUGGGAGGAGGACCUGCCAUCCUUGUAAAGUAUGGGAACUAAUGUCCCAAGAGUCAGAACUAUGUUCAAAACUGCCCAUGAAAACCAAAGAAUUGCCUGUGAAUGAACAUUUGUUUUCCAGUGGUGAUGAGAGGAUUGGUGGUGUGAUGGAUGAUAUUAGAAUCUCCUGCUGGGACUUCUCAAGAUACACUUUCCUUCCAGAGUUGACCAGCAAGAUCAUACUCAUCGUACACUGGUUGUUCCCAAGAAUGUAGCUGCAGGUUAUUCUGAGCACUAAGAUGAAGACUUAAUUUUUAUUAAAAAGAAAAGAUAUU
rnacentral:lncRNA from 1 species